rnacentral:lncRNA from 1 species
UGGAUAAUUUUAUUCAUCAAAUUUCAUUACCAAUAAAUGUAACAAGUACUUCUCCUUCAACAUUCCUAAGAAAAUAAAUCAUUCAGCAUAAAUACAUAUUCCAAAAGUUUUAAACAAAUAACAAAUCACUGUUUGUCCAAAAUAUUUACAAAAUGUCAAAAUUUUGCAACACUUGAUUCCUUCGCACAUUCGCAGCAUCCAAAAUCCAUUGACAAACAUAUUGCUCCCUAAACUGUUGGAGUUCAUCUUGCAAAAACAAAAAAGCACAACAUUUGAAUAAAAUGCAACAUUUAUAUCAAAGGUUCACAAGAUGGAAAUUUUUUCAACUUACAUUUGUAUAAGUGGACAUUGUGUUUCCAUUGUAUUUCUCAAUUCCAUCCCAUAACUUCAUAAUUUUUAAAACAAUUAUUCCACAAUCAAACCAAACCAACGUCAAAAUUUAUUUCUUCGUGACUAAGCUUACAAGACAACUAUUUUGCUAAAAUAUCCCAAAAAUAAAUCUUGAGGCCACAUACACACAAAAGAAUGAUAUGGGAAAGGAACCAUGAAGGAGGCAUGCAAUGGAUCCAUGCCUAGCACAAAAGGCCAAUGUGAGGAUGGAAAAAAAAAGUGACAAACCUCUUUAAAAGGAAAUAACAACUCAUUAAAUAGUAGUUUCUUAACUGAACCCGAUCAGACAAAAGUAAAUAAUUAUGCUGAUAUUCGAGGUGAGAGUAAUGAGGUCGAACAUGAGGUUUGUCCUUACAAGAUUCUUAUUAACUAAAGUGUAAUUUUUUUCUUUUUUUUUCUUUUAUCUGUCACCAACUUUAACCGCUGAAAUGUAGUUAGUUUAUCAAAAGAUUGUAUGAUUGAAUUAAAUUAAUCACUAAAUAUAUUCCAAUCUAGCCACCCAUUAAAACGAUAUAUGCAGUUUCUAAAUUGGUUCCAGUAUGUUAAAACGAUAAAAUAAAAAAAAUUAUGACCAAAUAGCGUCACUAAAUAUUUCUACACUGAAAAUUUUGCUGUUAGAAUUUGUCACCUUUUAAAUUUGGUGGUUAAUUCAAUCACUAAAAUAAAUAGUGACUGAUUUUUGUCAUCAGGGACUGUUUUUUUUUGUCUUUAUAUUAACUUUUUUAAAGCGAAAUUACUCACUUUGAGUAGAAGCAUAUAAAAUUUUAUCAUGACAAUAUUGGCAAAACUAAUUACAUGUAAAAAAAAUGAAAGAUCCAUAAACAUUAAACCUUAAUAUUCAAUACUUUAGUGUCUCACUGGAAUAAAAUACAAUCAAGUCUGGUUGUGAUAAGAAAUAGCUAUAUUUAGGGAUAGAUGAAAAAUGUGUUGACAAAUUCCAACCAAUCUUCUAAUAAUAUUGAUUAAAGUAUUAAAAAAUAUAUUUUUUAUUUGGAUGUUAAGGAAUGUGCCCUCUUCCUUUUAAUUCUUCAACCAAUAUUUUUAGGAUACAAGUUAAUAAGAUUUUUAAUGCUUAUGUAUAGAUCAUAAGGAGUUCAUAACAAUAUUUCUAGGUCGAUGUCAGUUUCCUUUCAACAUUGUUUUUAAGUCAAUUCUUAAAAGAGAUGUAUGUGGCUAAAGUUUAUUCAUUUUUUACUUUGGUGUAAUACUUCCUACUGCAGGUUAUGUUGAAUUUUUUCAAGGAUUUUGAAACAAAGCUUGGCAUCAAGAUCACGUGUUCUCAAGAAACUGAGCCACUAGGAACAGCAGGUCCCCUGGCUCUUGCUAUGGAUAAGUUGAUAGAUGACUCUGGAGAACCCUUUUUUGUUCUCACCAGUGAUGUUAUCAGUGAGUAUCAACUUAAAGAGAUGAUUGAAUUCUAUAAAGGCCACGGAGGAGAGGCUUCCAUAAUGGUAACAAAGGUAAGUGUUUUGACAAAAAGUAAUUCUCAUUUAAAUAUAUUAAAAAGUAAUUUACAUAUUUGUCAUUUGUUAGUAUGUCAAUCUGUCCAUGUCAAACGCUUAAGGCACUCCUCGUCUGUAUGAAAUGAAGAUGUUACAAGACCCAAAAAGGUUGAUUCAAUAGCUCAUCACCGGAAACAGUUGUAUGGUAAAUCAAACAAAUUUGUUGUACAGACUCUGUAGAGUUUUAGAUCAGUUAACAAUGGGAUACCAUCUUGGAACACUUAUUGAUAUUUUUAUAAAGUGCUAAUGGACAGCUUAGCUUCUUACACAAAUUACAGAAAUACUAAAAAACUAAUUUCAGAAACUCACGAUAUUUUUCCUACUAAGUGAUAAACCAAUCUAACAUUGAUAAAGCAUUUCAAUUUAUGUUUCUUUUGGCAAUAGCAGGCAAUUAAUGGGUGAAGAACUAACGGGUUUGGUAUCAAAGAACUACAAAGAACUCACCUUGCUUUGGGUUUAGGGUUCUACCGUCGAGCAAAUGGAACCGCAAUUCUCAGUGGAUGGAAGACGGCGGAUGGGAGGAGGGUCUCCGACGGUGGUAGUGCAUCCCUGGGGCGGUCACCGGUGGGCUCGAGUUGGCCAAGGCAGGUGGCGGCUGGUUCUCCAACGCGCUUUUAGGGUUCUGCCGUGAACAAAUGGAAUCGCGAUUCUUGGUGGAUGAAAGACAGCGGACGGACGACGGGUCUCUGGCGGCGGCAGUGCGGCGACGAUCGUCAUCGAUGGGCACAAAAUGUUCAGCGGCGGGUUUGCGAAAUGGACACAGGAUUUGGUUUGCGAAAUGUAUAUCAAAUUUAAAAUUUGGGACUUUCUCUCUCUGCUCCACGUCAACGUUUCAUUUAAAAAUCAAAUUUCAGCUGGACGAAUCACAUUUAGACACGUGUCCUGUGUCUAAAUGUUGUUCAAAAGUGUUGUUCAUAUAUCAUUUUCCUAAGUAAAAAAUUCUGCAUUUCUGUAUAGACUACAUUAGUUUUAAUAUAGAGUUUCUUUUUUCUUUCUUUUGCUAAAACGGAAGUAGUCAUAUUAACCUACAAAAUUAUACUGUAACUUUUUUUAUACAUGUCAUAAAAACUUAAUUAUUGUUCCCAAAUGUUUGAAAAUAUAAUAUCUUACUUAUAUUACAACUCUAUCAAAACAGAAUAAACAAAAACAAAUAUAUAAUUUAUGCUUAUGCUAUUUAAUUAAAGCCAAAAUUACAAAAACAGAAGUUAGAAAAUGAUAUUUAUCACACAAAAAACACAUGCAAAAAUUAAAAAGAAGUAUUUUGGUUAGUUACUUUGAAACAUGUGAACCAUUUCUCGUGUCGAAAACAUUACAGCUAACAAUCUAUUCUACUACAUAAUAAGGAUAAAAUUUUAUAAGGAUCAAGAGAUACAUAUUCGGCUAAAACAUCUUGAUCAUAUUUCUUUUAAGAAAUCAAUAGGAUAAAUAUUCAACGUCCUCUAACAACAAAAACAACUAAUGCAAAAGCAAAAACUGAGGAUAACACGGUCAACCUGUUAUUACUUUUGCAUGCCUCCACCAUAGAAACCACUUUCUACUUCAACUUCAUUAAACAAUUUCUUCAUGUUUUCCUUCUCAACUUUCUUUUUCCUCUAUGACACUUUUAUAACUCUCAACUUUUGAAAGCAAGUGCUUGUUUUCCUCUUCAAACUUCUUGUAUUCCUUUUCAAACUUUUUGUCACUCUCCUCCAAUAGGUUGUUAACGAAAACUGAAGUGACCAUGUUUUCUUUGUGGAGGGCCACGAUUUCACUAUAGGAGCGGUGUAGAGUGUUAAUAUCUUGGAGGCAAUUUUGAAUAUCUUCCAAUGAGAAAUUGUCAAUUAGGCUAGCCAUAGUUCGUGUUUCGAGAGUGUUUAGAUUAUUCUGAAUGAGACAUUUUCUUUUAUAAAGACGCAGAAGGAAAGAUGUUACUUUUUUUUUUUAUAAAGUUAUCUUCUUAUGACAACAGGUUACAUUUCUUUGUCGUAAGAAGAUAACGUGACCAAAAAGUAAACCCUUUUCUUCUACCUCGCUAUAAAAGAAAAUGUCUCAUUCAAAAUAACCCAAACACUCUUGAAACACAAACCAUGGUUAGUCUAAUCUACGAUUUUUCUCUGGAAGAGAUUCAAAAAUGCCUCCAAAAUAUUGAUACCCUUUAGUCGGAGUUACACCGCUUCUACGGCGAAAUCGUGACCCACUAUAAAGAAAACAUGGUUACUUUAGUUUUUCUUAACAACCUGUUGAGGAGAGUAACAAGAAGUUUGAAGAGGAAAACAAACAUUUGUUUUCAAAAGUUGAGAGUUAAAGAAGUGUUGUAGAAGAAGAGAGAGUCGAGAAAGAAAACAUGAAGAAAUUGUUUGAUAAGGAGAAGAAGAAGGUACAAAAGUUGGAGUAAAAGGUGGUUUAUAUGGUGGAAGCACACAAACGUAAGAAUAUGUGGAUCGUGUUUUCCUCAAAUUUUACUUCUGCAUUAGUUGUUUUUGUUGCUAGAGGACAAGACGUAAAUGUUCGGCUAAAACAUAAUUGUGAAUCGUGUUAUCCUAUUGAAAUUUUAUAAGGAUCAAGACAUAAAUGUUCGGCUAAAACAUCUUGAUCAUAUAACAAAAAAAAUAAGAUAUAAGUGGUUGUCAUAAUAUGCUUAUAUAUAUAUACAUAUAUAUAUAUAUAUUUAUAUAUAUAUAUGUAUAUAUAUAUAAGCAUAUUAUGACAACCACUUAUAUCUUAUUUUUUUUGUUAUAUGAUCAAGAUGUUUUAGCCGAAUAUAUAUAUAUAUGUGUGUAUAUGUGUGUAUGUUUGUAUUAUAUGUUGGUUUGAAUUAUAUUAUCACGUGAUUCUUAAAUUAUACUAGCUUUCUCUACUUUUCUGUUUUGUCAUGCUUACCCGUUCGGUCCUUUACAAUGAUCAUCCUGUGGAUGUGAGCAGGAGAACAAGAGGUCUCGUGGAACAAGCUCUGGAAGGAGAAAAUCCAUCAAUUUAGUACAGAUCGAACGAUCUUGUACAUGAUUUUGUAUUAGAUUAGGUUUCUAUUUAAAGUUUUACUUUUAUAGUUAUUUUUGGAUAACUGUACUAUUAAAUACUUUAACAACUUAUGGAUAAUUGAUCUAUUAUAUUAUUAUAUGUGAUUAUUUUAUAAUAUAGUUUAUACAAUAUUUUUGGGAUGUUAUAUUUAACAUAUUUUAAAUUACGUUUUUCAACAUAAUUUGAAAUACAUUUUUUCUUAAAGUCGGUUAAGAGUCCGUCUUUCGAAAGCUGGUUAAGGAAAAAACAUAUUUCGAACGAAGUUUUUUACUUAACCGGUUAUCGAAAUACGUCAAGUUCUUAAACCGAUUAAAGAAAAACAUAUAUUAAGGCUUUCACUUACCUUGAACCGCUUCCACAAAACGAAGGAGCAUACAAACUUGAAUGACCAAUUGCGACCAUGACAACUAGGACCACCACCACUAACAUAUUGCAGCGAGCGAAUAAGUAGAGAAAGAGGAAGAAGCAAAGAAGGAGACUAAGUGAGUGAAAGUUGAUAGUGAAAAGGAAAGGGUGCAAACUUUUUUUUUUUUUAAUUGGAUUGACAUAUUAAGGGCAGGAAGAAUUUUGAGAGGUGCAGGAAAAAGUACUCUAAGGAGGCAAAUCUAGGACAUGGACGUUAAGGUUGGUUAGUUGAGAACAAAAAUCGACACUUUGACCGAAUGGAGGGAAAAUGCAGAAAUAUGAGCAGAAGCAUGUAAGCAAGGGAGGGAAGAAAUCUUACUUAAAGAAGAAGUGUUACUGAAGACACUCCUACUCUUCCAAAUAUAAUUGAGUAAGAGUUUUAAAGGAAGUUUUUCAAUCUUUGAACUUUUAUAAUUUUAUUAAUGCUUCUCAUUUCUUGAGUCCAACCUUUACUUUUCAAAAUAUUUUACCUUCACUUUCACUCCCCAUUAAUUUUAACUGCACAAUAGUUUUUGAAAAAUCACAUUUUAGUUGUUGUCUACCAAGUUACAAAUAACUCAAGAUAUACAAAAUGAUUUUUUUUUAAAUAAUAUGGGUCUUAUUACUUUUGAAAAAUCUAAAGAAACUAGAACAAGAAAUGUUCAAUGCUUCACGAGGGAACAUUUCUUUUGAAUGUCUUCACAAAAGAACAUUGUUUUUAAAAAAGUAUGGAUAAUUCUCAUUCUUCACCUAAUGAAGAAAAAGUUUUAAAUUUUAUAAAAAAAUUAAAUUUUCUUAAAGAAAAUCUUUUCAAAAAUACGAAAAGAUUUAUUUGUUCUUUACAAAUACUUCGGUAUAAAUGAAUAAUUAAUUAAUUUUUUAUUUAAAAUUUAACAAUUUGUUAAAUUUUAAAUAAAAAAUUAAUUAUUAUUCGUAAUAGAUAAUGUCUUAAACUUCAAAUAUCACAUAAUAUAUAUAUAUAUAUAUAUAUAUAUAUAUAUAUAUAUAUAUAUAUAUAUAUAUAUAUAUAUAUAUAUAUAUAUAUAUAUAUACACACGUAUGUAUAUGUGUACAUGUAUGUAUGUACGUACGUAUAUGUGUACAUGUAGGUAUAUACGUAUGUGUACAUGUAUGUAUAUGUGUACAUGUAUGUACGUAUAUAUAUAUAUAUAUAUAUAUAUAUAUAUAUAUAUUCAUAUUCUGUGAUAUUUGAAAAACACAUGUAUAUAAUUCAAACCCAUCAAUUAUUCAUUUCAACAUAAAAAUAAAAUAAAAACACAUACUUGACAUGCGUAGAGACAAAUAUCUGCUGGAGCGAUUUGGAGACGAUCUAGCAUAUCUUCAACGAUGUCUGCUCCGUAUCGAAAGGAAACGUUGCUGGUCGUGCUAAAAAACAAAUCAAUUAGAGACAUCAUUGUCACAUAUUUUUAUGAUUAGGUUGUUUGAGUAGAGAUAUGACAGUGAGAAAAUCGUUCGUAUCUCAUACUUCUCUUUAUAAAAAGCAAAUAUCACAAUAUAACACACACAAAUAUGGCUAUCCCAUUCGAUAGGAUUCAAAGGUUCUAGGACAACUUUAUGGCCCAAUAUCAAGAGUUAAACAACAAGUAUGAUGAAGUUCUAAAGACCCGAGACGCACAAAACAGGGUCAAUUUAGAAUUGGUUGCCAACAUGAUAGUGAAGAUUGAGGAGAAGAAUGAAGAGAAAAAGAGACUGCUUGCAGAAAUUGAAUGUUAUAAAAAUUUUGUAGAUAAAGAAAAAGAUAAGCAGGAAGAGUGGAAGAAAAUGUAUGAUGAAAAAAAGAAGAAGUUUGAAAUGAUGGAGAAGGAAGUUAUUUCUGUGGAGGAGGAUUUCAAAAGUAAGUAUAUGUUAUCUGUGUUCUUUUCCAUUUUAGUUUCUGCAUUAACCAUUUUAGGUGUUGAUGUAGGGGACGUUAAUGUCUUCAUCUUAGUUGAUGUUUCAUCUUUAUUAUUAUGCUCUUUCUUAUUAUGCAAUAGGAUAGGUGGUUAAUGUAAUGUUUUUUGAAGACAUUAACGUCCCCUACAUCAACCCCUAAAAUGGCGUUGAUGUAGGGGACGUUAAUGUCUUCAAAAAACAUUACAUUAACCACCUAUCCUAUUGCAUAAUAAGAAAGAGCAUAAUAAGAAAGAGCAUAAUAAUAAAGAUGAAACAUCAACUAAGAUGAAGACAUUAACGUCCCCUACAUCAACGCCUAAAAUGGUUAAUGCAGAAACUAAAAUGGUAGAGAACACAAAUAACAUAUACUUACCUUUGAAAUCCUCCUUCACAGAAACAACUUCCUUUUCCAUCAUUUCAAACUUCUUCUUUUCUCCAUCAUACAUUUUCUUCCACUCUUCCGUCUCAUUUUUUUCUAUAUCUGCAAAAUUUUUAUAGCAUUCAAUUUCUGCAAGAAGCAUCUUUUCCUCCCUUCAUUCUUCUCAUCAAUCUCUUCUAUCAUCUUGGCAAGUAAUUCUGAUUUGACCUUGUUUUGUGCGUCUCGGGUCUCUAGAACUUCAUUAUACUUGCUGUUUAACUCCCGAUAUCGGGUCAUAACGUUGCCCUGGAACCUUCGAAUUCUAUGGAAUGGUAUAACUAUAUUUGUGUUUGUGUUAUAGUGUGAUAUUUGCUUUUUAUAGAGAGAAGUAGGAGAGAAGAACGAUUUCCUCAUUGCCAUAUCUCUACUCAAACAACCUAAUCAUAAAAAUAUGCGACAAUGAUGUCUCCAAUUGAUUUGUUUUUUAGCACGACUAGCAGCGUUUCCUUUCGGUACGGAGCUGAAGAUAUGUUAGACCGUCUCCAAAUCACUCCAGUAGAUAUUUGUCUCUAUGCAUGUCAAGUAUGUGUUUUUAUUAUUGGUUGCCAACAUGAUAGUGAAAAUAUUUUUAGUUUUUGAAUAUUUUAUAUUUUUUACGGUAUAUUUUUUAUAUAAGAAAGGGAAAAGGUUUUUAGCACAAGGUUUACGCGAACGGUCGCACAUGUGCUUUAAAUCCUUUGAAAUAAUUUUUGUUGAUUUUUUUGAAAGGAGAAGAAAAAGGUUUUUAGCACAAGGCCGACGGAAUGGUCGCACGUGUGCUUAAACCUUUUAAAAUAUUUUUUGUUAAUUUUUUGAAAGUAAAAGAAAAAGGUUUUGAGCACAAGGUCAACGGAAUGGUCGAACAUGUGCUUAAAACUUUUAAAAUAAAUUUUUAUUGAUUUUUCAAAAGAAGAAAAAGGUUUUCAGCACAAGGCCGACGAAAUGGUCGCACGUGUGCUUAAACCUUUUAAAAUAAAUUUUUGUUAAUUUUUUGAAAGAAGAAGAAAAAUGUUUUCAGCACAAGGCCGACAGAAUGGUCGAACGUAUGUUUAAACCUUCUAAAACAAAUUUUUGUUGUUUUUUGAAAGAAGAAGAAAAAGGUUUUCAGCACAAGGUCGACGGAAUGGUCGCACGUGUGCUCAAACCUUUUAAAAUAAAUUUUUGUUGAUUUUUUGAAAGAAGAAGACAAAGGUUUUCAGCACAAGGCCGAUAGAAUGGUUGCAUGUGUGUUUUAAACCUUUUAAAAUAAAUUUAUAUGGUUUUUUGGAAGAAGAAAAAAAAGGUUUUCAACACAAGGCCGACGGAAUGGUCACACCUGUGCUUAAACCUUUUAAAAUAAAUUUUGUUAAUUUUUGAAAGAAAAAACAAGAUUUUCAACACAAGGCCGACGGAAUGGUCGCACAUGUACUUAAACCUUUUUAAAAUAAUUUUUGUUCAAUUUUUUGAAAGAAAAAGAAAAAAAAUUUCAACACAAGACUGACGGAAUGGUCGCACGUGUGCUUAAACCUUUUAAAAUAAUUUUUGUUGAUUUAAUAUUUAUGAUAAAAAGAGAAAAUAAAAAUAAAAAUAAAAUAUAAUGAAAAGAUGGAAUAAGAUAAAAAGGGGUGUGGGGGUGCUUAAAUAAGAAAAAGAGGUGUAGAUUAAACUUAGUGCUAAUAACUAACUGGGCCAAAGCCCUAAUGGAAAAAUGGAGGUAAGAAAAUGAAACGGAUGGCUGCAAACCAAUUUAGUUCGUAUAACAGACUCGGCCUAGUGGACAGGCGGUGCGAAAGGGAAACAAAGGGGGUGCAGAAAGGAUUGUUUUUUAACAAGGCUUUUGCCCAAAAAGAAAGGAGGGCGUGAUAUUAGAACAAAAGGAGGUGCACGGAGGAAAGGGUUUUUUUUGUUUAUUUUUUUAAAAUGGCAUAAGGGCUCAGGCCCAAGACUCUUCAGCAGAAAAUUAGGGGUCCUCAAGCUGCCUCUCAUUUCAACAUUGCACCCCAUCGUCCCAGGGCCUCCUCUCUGAACGAGAAUGCCAGAGUAGAGUUCGCCUCCACCACUGACGAAGCCGACGAUCACAAGCCGCGAGCCAAGGCCGCUCCGGUGACGCUUCUCGCCGGCGGAGUCGUCGCCGGCAACCAGGUUUUCUCCUUCACCUUUUCGCGCGAGAGAAUCACCGUGCUCCUUCACGGCUCGUCUUCGCCGCUUCAACAAGGCCGGUCUCCGCCGCCGCCGUUCACGUCGGAGGAAGCCGCGUCGUGUACGACAAUUCAGUCUCUAAUUUCCCUCUCUUAACCCCAGGUGACCCUUGCCCCAACUGCGACCAACAGAGGUUGCCGCCACUCCAGACAAGCAGAGACUAAAGAUGGGUUUUUGAUUUCUGGUGGGUAUGCAUUUCUUGCUCAAGGAUUCGGUUCCUUCGUUGGUGAUUGGAGAUGAACAGCGGUGUGGGGGCUUAAGUUUCAAUAUCUGGUCUGGCUUUUGGGGUUUUGAUGUCUUAGUGUGUUUAUGGAUUUUGCUCUGUGUGCCUAUUGCUUAGGGGGUCAACUCCUGUGGCUUAAGGUGAACAGAGGCAAGGAGACCCAAUUUCAUGAUCUGACUUGUUUGGGGGGUUUUUUGUGGUUGGUGGGUGGACAUAGGCUGUCGACAUUGACAGAGAGUGAAGGAAUCGGAAGAGCUGUUUCAGUUUGUUGGGAUGAUGAUUUAUCUGCAGGGGGUUAUCGGAACUUGGACGGCAAUACAGGAUAUUGAUUCGCAAGUUUGGAUUAUACAAAGAGAGCACCGGUCUCUGAUUGUUGAAGGUGGUGAAGCAUGUUCAGGUUGUUGGGAUGAAUGGAAAACAAACCAUGUACAGAAGCAAAUCAUGCAUACUCAAUAUAAUAGCAAGUUCAAUGUGAGCAGUCAAAGCCAGGCAUUACCAAAUCAAAACAGAAGCAGAAACCCCAUUAAGAGUAGACUGUAAUCCUCUAACAUUCAUAACUUUGUGAGGGAUGAAGUUAAAGAGAACUUACCUUCUACGUUUACACUCUCUUCUCUCAAGUCCUUGUGAUCCUUUCUUAUGAUUCAACUCCACUUCUUUUCUUCAGUGGCCUUGGUGUUAGUCUAGAGAAAAACCAUUUUUCUUUGCUUCGUAAGUGUGAGGAGUGGUCAUCAAAAUGGAUUCUGUUUUUUUUGGUGGAAGUGAAUAAUAAUCUGUUGGAGGUGAAGAAUUGGGAGUAAAAGGGAAAUGUGGUCACGGGUGAGGGGAGCAGAGCAAGUCUAAAGGCAAAGGGGAGUCUCUGUUGAGUGAGAGAGUAGUGUCUCCGUUUUUUCUUGAUGCCCCUUUUUCUCUCUAGAAGUCGUUUCCUUUCUGCCAUUCAGCCCCUAAGGUUAGACUUAGAAUCAGAAUCCGCUUGGCAAAACCGCUGUCAAACGCCAUUCUUCUUUGAUGUAUAAUUGGUGACAGAAACCAUGGGGCACAGGGUUCUUUCCGGAAAACGGAAGUUUGAUUGCUUGUGGAGGCAUCUGUUGUUGUGUGUUGCAGGAAAGCUUAAUUCAUGUUUGCACGACUGAGAAUGGGAAGAAUGCAACACUCUGCCAUACCUUUUUUCUUUUCUUUUUUCCUUUGAAUUUUUUUUCUAACGUUUAACAUUAAAAAGAAACACAAAUAAAACUAAAUAAUAAAAGAAACUAAAGUAAAAUAAAACGAAAUAACUCUAAAUAACAAAAGGUAAAAUAAAAUAAAAAGUAAAAAUAGAAUUAAAAUACAAAAACUAAUAUCAAAAUGAAAACAAAAAAAAGAUAAAUAAAUAAAAUAAAAUAAAAUAAAUUAAAAUUAGGUAAUAUAACAAAAAUAAAAUGAUAAAAAAACAUAAGAUAAAAGAAAAAUAAUAUAUUUUUGUUAGCCGGACGAAAACGGAUGUUAAAUCAUAUUUGAAGUUUGAAACACUAUUAUCGCAAUGGGACGAAAAGAAAACGUUUCAGAAAAAGAGAUUUGGAGUCGUUUUCAUAGUUUAUUAUGAAAAACUACGAAAAAAACCAUAAAAUGAUAAGGUACGAUCUACGAAAACCAGAUUCUAGGUUCGGGAGUCGAUUACGUGUAGCAAAAGUAUUAGCACCCUAUAUCGCCUGCCCGAAGGCAAUAUCUUUAAUUAAAUACGCGAAUAUGGUGUAUCCGAAAAAGACAUUAUUAAGAAGCAAAAUAUAUUUUUUAGUUUUCUAAGAAAUUGUUGAGAAAGUUUAUUUGGAAAAUAUUUAGAUUUUUGGGAAGUGAACCUAAGAAAGACUAGCCUUGCUCCAAAGUAUCUUCACUUUGGAUGGAGAAUCAAGGAUCAAGUACUUUCCGUUGAAAAAUUGUUUGUUGUUUUAAAAUACU